rnacentral:rRNA from 1 species
GUAGGGUGCGAGCGUUAAUCGGAAUUACUGGGCGUAAAGCGAGCGCAGACGGUUAAAUAAGUCAGAUGUGAAAUCCCCGAGCUCAACUUGGGACGUGCAUUUGAAACUGUGUAACUAGAGUGUGUCAGAGGGAGGUAGAAUUCCACGUGUAGCAGUGAAAUGCGUAGAGAUGUGGAGGAAUACCGAUGGCGAAGGCAGCCUCCUGGGAUAACACUGACGUUCAUGCUCGAAAGCGUGGGUAGCAAACAGGAUUAGAUACCCUGGUAGUCCACGCCCUAAACGAUGACAAUUAGCUGUUGGGGUACUAGUUACCUUAGUAGCGAAGUAACGCGUGAAAUUGUCCGCCUGGGGAGUACGGUCGCAAGAUUA